GGGAGUGUGGCAUGUUGCACUCCAUGUGAUCACAAAGAGUUGGACAUGACUGAGCAACUGAAGAGCAACAUGACUGAUUCGCAGUGAUGUACAGUAGAGAUUACAGCAACAUGGUAAAACAACUAUCACCUUAUAAAAUAAAUAAAAUUGGCCUAGCGGAAAAAAGAAAAGAUGAGAAACUUGAGGUUCAGUGUGUGGUUGACGUGACAAGACCUUGAGUGAAGUUAAUAUUGUCCCUGCUGCUGUUCCUGUCAUCAUAUCCAAAGGAUUUGGGGUUGCCAUGAUUUUAACAGAGAACAUUAUCCUGGACACUAUUUACCUAACAGGUGGUUGAAGACAAUGAAAGUCAGUAGUUGUUGGCAGUUAUACUGAACUAUUAUUGCUUUUCCAUGUCUUCCUUUCCAGGCAACUUUGCAGUUCCUCUUAUAAAAAUACAAACUGGGCUUCAGUAACCCUGGAGCUCAGCCAAAGAACUGCUCUGGUCAGAGGAAUUUGGGCAUAAGUGACAGAGUGCUGGUCCCAAACUUAGGCAUUGACAGGCCUUGUCUAUUUCCAGUU
ensembl:lncRNA